rnacentral:rRNA from 1 species
ACGAACGCUGGCGGCAGGCCUAAAACAUGCAAGUCGAACGCUCUAGCAAUAGAGAGUGGCGCACGGGUGCGUAACACGUGGGAAUAUGCCUUUUGGUACGGAACAACUCAGGGAAACUUGAGCUAAUACCGAAUGUGCCCUUCGGGGGAAAGAUUUAUCGCCAUUAGAGCGGCCCGCGUCUGAUUAGCUUGUUGGUGAGGUAAAGGCUCACCAAGGCUACGAUCAGUAGCUGGUCUGAGAGGAUGAUCAGCCACAUUGGGACUGAGACACGGCCCAAACUCCUACGGGAGGCAGCAGUGGGGAAUCUUGCGCAAUGGGCGAAAGCCUGACGCAGCCAUGCCGCGUGAAUGAUGAAGGUCUUAGGAUUGUAAAAUUCUUUCACCGGGGACGAUAAUGACGGUACCCGGAGAAGAAGCCCCGGCUAACUUCGU